AAUACUCUAGAUCAAGUCUAACGGAGCCGAUCGUCGAUUCGAAAGUCGGAACAUCGAAAACAAAGUGGAAGCACGGAGCGCUCCGUGCUUCCAUAAGCAUACCAGACGCACUCUAUAUAUAUAUAUAGGCCAUGGCUACUAUACUAUUAUGAGUAUUGGGCCCUUCGUACUCAUAAGUUGUUUUCGAUGACAGGGCUUCCGAAUCGACAAUCCAUUCCGUUAAAUAUGAUCUAGAGUAUUUGAAACUUCUAAAAAAUAAAUUUCGUAAUUUUUUGAAAUCAUAAUAAAGUCCAUCAAACGGGUAUAAAACGAAUGGUCAAAAUCGAACGACGUCCUAAAAAUAGAUGAUCGGAUCCUUCAAUUUAAGAUCGGAAUUAUUGAUCUUUAUCUAGAUAGUGAAUAGAAUUUUCUAUCAAAAAUUCAACAUAUUCCAAUUCUUUUACACCGUUAAACUAGCAAGUAUUCCACACCGGCCGUUAAAAAAUGUCAAUUUUGUGAGCUUUUGAUCGUAAGGUAAAUGAUGUCGAAAAAUUAUAAAAUUUGAUUUCUAAAAGUUUUAAAUGCUCUAGAUAAUAUUUAACGGUAUGGAUCGUCGAUUCGGAAGCUCUAUCAUCGAAAACAACUUAUGAGUACGAAGGCGAUCAUACUCAUAAAAGUAUAGUAGCCGGACUAUACAUAUAUGAGUAGAGCUAGAAUACUUGUAAAAGUAUCACCCAAGUGAUACUUGUGUGUUUUUAACCCUUGGAUGGAGAGAUGUGAGGUUGAGAUGAUGGUGAUAGGUGGUGGUAGGUGGUGGUAGCUGGAAUAGUGUUUGAUCCAAGGACUAUUAGUAAUCAAAAAGUAGAUCCAAUGGCUAAAAACAUAUAAGUAUCACUUGGGUGAUACUUGUAAAAGUAUUCUAGCCCUACUCAUAUAUAUAUAUAUAUAUAAUUAGGCUGGAAUACUAUUAGUAGUAAAAUUCUCUUUUUGCUAUUAAGAUUUUAACCCUUGGAUGAAAAAUUGUAGGGUCAGGAUGACAUUAGUCGGUUAGAGUUGAGUGCUCCUCCUAGGGUUGAGUGGUCUCCACUGAGUUAUAGUAUUUAAUCCAAUGGAUAGAAAUGAUGAAAAAAAUUGAUCCAAAAGCUAAAAAACUGAUAGCAACAAUGAAAUUUUGCUACUAAUAGUAGCCCAGUCCAACUCAUAAACCCAGUGGGGACCACUCAACCCUAGGGGGACCACUCAACUCUAACCGACUAAU
rnacentral:lncRNA from 1 species